rnacentral:lncRNA from 1 species
GUAUUUCCAACCUUAAAGGAGAUCCCACUUUCUAAACUUCUGAUGGCACUUACCAUUUCAAUUGACUUAAUAAAAGAAACCUGUUAACCCAAUGAACGUUGUCUGGUGGGUCCCAUGGUCUUAUUCUCUUGUCUCUUCCAAUUAGAAACAGCCGCCUAUGCCAUUUCUUCGUGCUCCCAGUGCGAAACCUCGUUUGCAGCCUCUACGUGUUCGGUGGGGUCAGCGGUGAUCCAAAAUACGGAGAUGGCGGAGGAGCGGUUGGCGAAGGCGGAGCCGCUUUUAGGUGCCGGCGUAGGUGAUAAAUCUGGCGGAUCUGCUGCAUCAAAGUGCGAUUCUGAUCCAACACGGACUGCAUCCGCCGAAGUCAGUCAUUGAAGGUUUCCCAGACCUCAGCGCUACCCCUCUCUGCCUCUCGCCGGAGUCAUCUCCUUCGUUUGCAGGGCUGGAACUUGCGCAACGACGAUCAGCGGUCGCAAAGCUUUAUCGACUGCGAUGAUGGCGGUUAUGGUGGUGGCGGCGCCGGAAACCAUUGGAGGCGUCUUCGUCCAUGUUAGAUUCGGCCGGCGAUGGUGAGGAGUGCAGCAGCGUUGCAAUGUGGAGAUGAUGGUUCCGACGGCAGUGUAGCGGUGCAGGUAGACGAGAUCGCAUCGUCGGUGGUCGGCAGUGCAUGAGGAGUGGUCGUCGGAGGUGAAAUCGAAACCGACGCCGUCUAAACCUGGAUCAGACAUGAAGGUUCCAUGCAGGGCAGCGUCGUUGCUGUUAUCAGAGAAGAAGUCCGGGUCCAGAGGCGGCACUGCCAGUGGAUGCAUUCUUGAUGUGCCUCCCCAGCCAGUGUGCCAUUGGUCGCGAUGAAGUGUGGAGAAUGAUAAUGGCGGUGAUUGAUCAGUAUCAAGACCUAGUCUAUGUGUGGCUUCGAUGAGUUGUUGCUUUUCUAUGGAGAUGCGGUGAAUUCGUGUAGACAUGCAAAUGACUACUAUAAAAAAGGCUUGUUUUCUCCAACUGAUAGCGUCCCUGUGGAGGUGAUGCUCGCUGCUGGUAGAGAUGCAUCUCUCUUGAAAUGACCUAGCUUCCUACCAUGCUCUCUGCAUUUUCCGCAACGGAGUCUUGAAGUACCCAGAUUCUUGAAAAGAUCUAGAAUGACUACUAGCGAUUUGACACCCUUCUACAUUAAUAGGAACUGAUCUAGGAACAUUCAAACUUUGGUAAGCACAUCUAACCUGUAAUACUAGAUCCGCUUUUGUUUUGAAUGCUACAAUUGCUAUGAUCUAAUGGCCCUAGGAGUUUUGCAUGCACCUAACAAGAUUCAAGGCCAAGGAAUAGAGUAAUCCUGGUUUUCUUACAAAUGUUAAGGUAGAGCCCUUAAAAGUAGUGACAUGAUGUAACAUUUAAUUUCAUUAUAUAUUAUAUUAGUUUCCAUUUCUAUCCUAUUUACAUUAUAUGAUAUAUUAGUCAAGCCUAAUCACUUAUAUCGUGCGAGACUUGAGUGCAUUAGAAGUUGUAUGGAAGAUUCAAAUCAUGAGUUUCUUACAAGUUGAUAUGUUGAUUCAUAGUUGGUUCAUGGAUUUAGGCUAUCUAGUAGAAACUAUGAUACACUACCUUCUAAUUGGUGGGAUUACCUGUUUUAGUCAUCAGGAUGGAUUUUCCAUGAUGAGUGUAUGAUUACAACUAAAAUAUGUGCUUCAAUGGCACACAAGGACUAUAAUUUAUGCAAUAUAAAAAGUGUUAAUCACUCAACUUAACUCAAAUUGAUGCUAAAACCCUAUCCAAUGAUCUAAAUUCUACUUAGCCUAAUAUCAAGUUUAAAGGAUGAAAAAGGUAUAAGUUACAAGGAUCAUUUUUCAGCCAUGGUAGAGCAGGGGGUUAAGUGCGCUCAAAUGAGAGAUUCAAAAUUUGUGAAGCAUGAUGAGAGCUUAAGCAAAGGAAAAUAGAGUAACACGCAACAUGAUAAAUAAGAAAUGGAAGUUAUGAAGAGAGUUAAAGAGCAAGAAAACAUGAGAAAGAAGGUUGGAGGUCAUAACUUGAAGUUUAAAAUGAAAUUCAUAAUUUAAAAUCUGGUAGCAAUGCAUGGAAGCUUUAAGGUAAAUUUUGUAGAAAUUUUAAAGAUCACUUUGGGGCAAGCUACAAAUGGUUCCAAAGCUUGAGAAAUCAAAAGUCCAACACUUAAAAUGGUUCACGAAUCAGAGUUGAAGUGAGAAAGUUAAGACCAAUUGAAACUAGCUGGGCAAAAGAAUAUGUUGAAUUCAUAUUCAACUUUUUCAAAUUCGAAUUGAACGUAUGAAUUCAAAAAUGCUCUCCAAUUCAAAUUCUUUCAGUACCCGAGAGCAAAAACCAACUUAUGAAUUUGAAUCCACUUUCAAAAUACACCCAAUUCAAAUUAAUCAAUAGCCACUUCAAGAACGAGUUUCCUUCACUUUGAAUUUAGCAUUUUUGGCGCUCUCCAACUAGAGAUGGGGCCCGAUCAUUUAGAAAUUGUGAUUUAUUAUUAUUAUUCUUUUAUAAAUUUUUAGGUAAUUUUUUUAGAAUAAGUGACUAAUAGGAAUAUCACUUGUUAAGUACUUUCAUUUUCCUAUAAAAAUUCAAUGUUUUAAGGUUUUGAGGAUUUCUUAAAGAUUCUUGAGAAAGAAGACAUUGAAAAAUUCUUAGUUGAUUUUUCUUCUCUUUCUUAUUAAUGUAAUCAUUUUUAUUAUUAUUUUCAAUCCAAUAAUGGUUCUUUUUCUUUAUUUAAUGGAAUGUAUUUUUUACAACACCCUCAUGAGAGGCCAAAAAACAAUCUUGGGGUGUGAAACAUAAAGACCUAGGGUUAGAGCUUAGGAGAAAAAAUGAGUAAAAAAAAAAGACUAAAAAUAAUUUAAUGAAAGGUUAAGGAAUAAACAUUAAAAUCAAAAGACUCUCCAAGGUUAGUUUGAAUUAGGAGAUAAUACAAAAGCCCAUUACUUGAGACGGGUGACUUUUUGUGAAUCUUGAUCACCAAUUAUCUUGGUUCUUACAUUUGUUACCUACACUAAGACAAAUCUACAAGAAGUAGUGUGAGCCUUAAAUCCUUGACCUAGACCCAGGUUUCAAAUCUAUUCAUCAAUUAGUAAUUCAAUUAUCAAAUAAAAAAAUUUAAGGUUUGGAUGCAACACUGAGUUAUAGAACUCAGGUUGAUCUAACUUAACCCAAGAUUAUAAAUACCCUAAGAUCUCUUUAACUUGAAUACCCUUAUAUUAGUCCAAGAUCCCACCUAAAGUUGAAUUGUGGAACCCUUAAUCUUAAAUCAUUUGAAUUAAAAAACAACCUCAUAAGCUAUUUGGCUAUAAAACUUUAGUUCAAGACUCAAAAUUGAGGACUCCAUCUCUAAGCCAAUUUAGAUAUAUUAUGAUAACUCUACAAUAGUUUUCUUCUCUAAAAAACAAUAAGUACUCUAAUAAGUCAAAAGAUAUUGAGUUAACAUUGGAGUAUCAUAUGGUUAGAAAGAUUAUACUUUCAAAAGAUGUCCAUCAAACACAUUGGCAUAGGCAUGACAAUAGUAGAUCCUUUAACAAAAGCUAUAGGUCUUACUGAUGUUGUACAAUUAUUUUGGACAUACAUGAGUAAUAAAAUUUCUUAAUCCUAUGCACAUUUUAUGGGUAAUAGUUAACAGGAUUGUCCCAAUUUUUACAUUAAGGUUAGGAUCAUGGUUUAUUACUUCCUUAUUUAGAUUAUCUACAUGAGUUUGUCAGUUGUGUGAUACAUGGAAGGAAUCAUAUAUGAUAAAAUGAUAUGAGACCAUUGUGAUUCAUAUUGGUGACCUCAUAAGAUUAGCAUGUUACACUCAUAAUAUUUUUAGGUGGUCACUUAUUGAAUCCAUAAAGGUUUCAAGUCUCCAUGUAGUCAUUUGUUAAAGUGGGAGAAUGUUGGAAACUUAUUAUCACCUUCAUGAAAACAUUAUACCGAUUAGGAAUUUGAGACACUUUCCAACACACAUGAAGUUACACUCCCAUAUUCCAAGGGUUCAUGACUUUGGUCAUGAACCUAAUGUAACUAUAUUUCUCAUAUUAUACAUCUAACAUAUAUGACAAGGUUAAAUGUAAAAAAAUAUAAAGUAUCAUAACCAAAGUCAUGAACCUAGUAAAUUAUGCACAAGGUAAAAAGAUCAAAGUCAUGUACCUACAUUAAAGUUCUAUAUACACUGAAUAUUACAUGAGAUUAUGAGUAAAUACAUAUAAUCUAAGGGGAAGCAUACAUUUAUAAGUCUAGUACCUUAACAUUAUAUAGAAAAGACUUUAUGUCUAUCUCUCCACUCAUCCUAAGUUUGGGAUUUCUCGCUAUUUGUGCAAACAUUAAGAAGAGAAUUCGGAGAAAGAAGUUAUAAGGGCCUAACACCAACACAAAGUGACAAGAUGUUGUCUAAAGAGAUAUAAUUUUGUAAACAAUAUACAUAAGGUUAUUUUUAUAACAAUAGUACAAGGUGAGUUUUAUGUAUUUUUUUUUUUAUUAAAUUAGAUUGAAAGAACUUAUUUAUUUGAUUUUCUAAAACAUUUAGUAUACCGUAAAAAGACAGAAAUAAAAUGAGAAUAAAGAAAAAUUAUAAUAUCACAUAUCAAAAGGAGAAAUUAAAAUCUCAACCAAAGAUCUUGUUUUCUUAUAGUAUUAAUGAAUUUUUUAUUUUUUUAUUCUAAAAAACAAUUCAAAUAUUUAAAAAAAAUACAAAAUUAAAUGAUUUCUCAAUCUCAUUUCAUUAUGGUUGGACUUCAAAUUAUAAAGUGGAGUCAAAACAUCAGUUUGUUGAACUUUGGCCCAUCAAAAAGUAAAUAAAGGACUUAAGGAAAAGAGUUGAAACGGGAGACUUUCUUUUUGCACUAUUGAGUUUUGCAUUUGUACUAGGAAUGCAAAAGAAUGAAGGCCAAUUAUUCAAUUGUGCGUUAUAUAUAUAUAUACUAGGAAUGGAUGGGGGAAGGGAAGGGUUUGUCUUCAUCCUCUGAAGAAGAGAAAUGAAAAAAGACAGAGAAGGCAUCUGAGAGGGAAACCUUAGUUGUGCCUUGAUAUCCUAUUUGCAAAGCAUCUUAAGCUUCUUUAGACUUUGCUGUUGUCGAGGAAAGAUAGUUUCUACUUGUUGGAUAAAAAACAAUGCCUUAGCAUCUUUCUUUUGAACGUCUCUAAUAGCCUCUACAAGAAUUUCCACUUUUUCAUAACCCUUAUCUACAAGCUCCCACAAACGUUGGGAGAUAAAAGAAAAGUCCUCAUCUUCAUACUCCAAACUUCAUAUCCACUUCCUUGAAAAAAUGAAAUGCUAGGCUAAGUUGGGAUAAGACCAACGUUGUUUACCAUUUGUUUAACCUGGCUUUGAUACCAGAUGAAAAUAUAGUUUGGGGUACUUCUUCAAUCUUCAAUUAAACCUGUCCAAUCACUAUAAGAAAAACCAUAUAGCUAAAGAUUGUUAGAAUUAGUAUACCAAAUGCCAUACGAGCUUGUUCCCCUUAAAUAUCUUAACACUCUCUUGGCUGCACCAUGAUGAAGCUUGCUUGCACUUUGCAUAAACCUUGACAUGAGACUUGUUGCUUGCUUAAUAUCUAGCCUAGUGUUGGUGAGAUACAAUAAACUACCAAUCAAACUUUGAUAUUCUUGAACACCAAUUUUCUCUUCCCCAUCAUUCAAACAAAAUUUCUUAUUAGUGUUCAUAGAAGUUUCCAUUGGAUUACAAUUCUUCAAUUUAAACUUCUCAAGAAGAUCAUUUGCAUACUCCUCUUGAGAAAUAAAAAUUAUCGUAUCACAUUGUUUCACUUUCAACCCAAGAAAAUAACUCAUCAAGCCAAGAUCAAUCAUCUCAAAUUCACCAAUCAUUAUCUUUUUAAAAUCCUCCAUUAAAACAAUGUCAUUGCUAGUAUAAAUCAAAUCAUCAACAUAAAGGCAAAUAAUAAGUAUCUCACUCAUAUCUCUUGUCUUAACAUACGAGGUCGGCUCAUUUUUGCUCCUCUAAAACCCAUGUUAUUUGAAGUGCCCAUUAAUACAAUCAUACCUGCCCUUAGUGCUUGUUUUAAGCCAUAAAGGGCCUUUUUUAAUCGAUACACUUUCUAUUCUUCACCCAUAAUUUUAUAAAUCUGAGGUUUCUGAACAUAGACUUCUUCAAUCAAUAAACCAUUUAAAAAAGCAGACUUCACAUCAAAUUGAAAGACAUUCCAUUUAUAAUCUGCAAUAAUAGCCAAAACAAUCCUAAUGCUAUCAAAUCUAGCAACAAGAGCAAACAUUUCUUCAAAAUGAAUACCUUCACACUGCAUGUAGCCUUUUGCAACUAACCUUGCUUUUUUACUUUUGACUUGAACCAUUUGAGCAAUAUUUGAUUUUGUAGAUCCCUUUUAGUCCAACAAUUUCCUUGCCAUUUGGUAUAUCUACUAGCUACCAUGUUUAAUUCCUUUUCAAAGCCUCAAUUGCUUCAUUUAUAGCAUUACACCAUUCUUUAUACUUCACAACUUCUUGAAAGUGAUGUGGCUUAUUAAUUUCAAUGAAUUAACAUCUUUCACUCUGCUCAUGUAUUUCUUUCAAGGACCUCAUCUUCCUCGGCGGUGUUUUAGGAGAGGAGAGAGAAAAAGAACUUGAAGAUGUUGAUGAAGCAUAUCUAAAAGUACUUGUGAAAGGAUAAAAAUUAUCACCAUUUGGAAUUUCAUGCCUUAAAGGAGUCUCUACCAACUCAUCAUCUUAUAGAAGUACACCUAGAGAAUUUUGAGAUCCCCAAUUCCAAGCAUUUUUCUCACUAAACACAACAUCACAACUAAUAAUUAGUUACUUGGUGAUAAGAUCGAUUAUAAAAUCCAUAUCCUUUAGUUUCAACACUUUAACCCACAAUAUAUGCAUUUCACACUAUUAUCAUUGAGUUUAUGUUUUUUUUUUGGAAGGCACAAAAGCGUAUGAAACACAACCAUAAAAUCUUAAACUGGGUUACCUUAGGUUUCCAUUCAUUCCAUGCUCCAAAAGGAGGUUUGGUAGUGUAGUGCUAAUGUAAGACUCCUAUUAAGAAUGUAAGCUGCAAUAUGAAUUGCUUCAACCUAGAAACAAUUUGGAAGUCCCUUUGCUUUCAACAUACUCUUAUCCAUCUCCAUGAUACUUCUAUUUUUCCUUUCUGUGACCCUAUUUUGCUAAGGAGUGUAGCUAAUUGUUAACUACCUCUAGAUACCAUAAUCUUCACAAAAUUUAUCGAACUCAUUAGGAUAAAAUUCACCACCACAAUCUGUUUGCAAUAUCUUCAAGGAAAAACCAUUGUUUUUUUCGACAUGGUUCUUGAAUCUCUUAAAGAUAGGUAAUGCUUUUGAUUUUUCUUUGGCAAAAUAGACCCAAGUCAUCCUACUAAAAUCAUUCACAAAAACAACAAAAUAUUUGUUAUUGUUAAGAGAAUAAGUUCUCAUUAGCCCACAAAUAUUUGCAUGCACAAAUUCAAUUGGUCUUGUAGCUUUUCUUGCUUCCCUUUUGGAAAAGCAUCCCAAUGCUGCUUCCCAAACACAUAACUCUCACAGGUUUCAUCUACAUGUUUUACAAAAGGCAAACCAUGCACCAUAUUUUCUUUGGCUAAAUUUCCCAAACUCUUAAAGUUUAGAUGCCCAAAUCUAUGAUGCCACAACCAAUUAUCGUCAAUCAACAAAACACUACAUGGAUUUGUAUCACCACCAAGGGUUAGAGGAAAAAAAUUGUUUUUGGCAAUAGGAGCUUUCACUAACAAAUUCUUUUUGGUUUUAUCUUGAAAUAUUGAAUAUGAUAAAUCUUAAAAAACAAGUGAGUAGCCUUCUAAUAGAAACUAUCCCACACUUAACAAACUUGCAUCUAAAUCAAGAACAUAAAGAACAUUUUUUAUGCAACUCAUUUCACUUAAUUUUACCUUUAUAGUAUCUCCACCUUCUUCUUCUCUGAUUGCUUCAUCACUCAUCUUCACCUAAGUGGUCACCGAUUUAUCUAGAUUUGUAAAGGCAUCCAAGUUUGUUGUCAUGUGAUUACUACACACACUGUCUAUAUACCAAACAUCUUAAACACAUUCUUCAAUAGAAUAAAAAGUAAGAAAUAAGAUUUCAAAUUCUUUAUUGUCUUUUUCUUACUCCUCAACAAAUUUGACAUGUUUUUCUUUUAGUCUGCAAUACUUUUUUAUGUGGUCAAAUUUCUUACAAUAGUAGCAUUGGAUUGACUUAUGAUUGUAACUUUCACCUUUUUCACCAAACUCAUUUUGGUAGUGGUUACUUGAAUGACCACCACCACUUCCACCUAUUCCACUUCUUUUGCUUCUUCUACCAUGAUAGGAAUGCUCUCCAUGACUCCUUUUGUUGCUAGAUUCCUUGUCCUUGCCACCUACCUUAUCUUUAGAAAACUGCAAUUUAAUCUCCUUUUGUUGCUAGAUUCCUUGUCCUUGCCACCUACCUUAUCUUUAGAAAACUACAAUUUAAUCUGAAAUGCAUUUUCAAUGAAUGUUUCUUCAUAUCUCUUCAUCUUUUCUUCAUGGGAUUGAAGUGAACCAAGCAACUCGUCAAUAGUUAGUAUACUUAAAUCUUUGGACUCUUCUAUUACUGAAACCACAUGAUUAUAAUUCUUAGCCAAGCUUCUCAAAAAUUUUCCAACCGCUUUUUCAUCCAAUAAUCGUUUACUAUAUUUUCGAAUUUGGUUCACAAUUUCCAAAAUAUGACAAAAGUAGUCAUGCAAACAAUCACCAUCUUUCAUGAGUGACAUUUCAACUUCCUACGAAGAGUUUGAAGUUUGACGACAAGUACCUUGGUUGUGCCUUGAUAUCCUAUUUGCAAAGCAUCCCAAGCUUCUUCAGAAUUUAAUAGCUUCUGAAACAGCUUGUUGGAUGAAAAAAUAAUGUUUUUCCAUCUUUCUUUGGACUGUCUUUGAUAUCCUCUUCUUUGUCAUCCUUAUCCACAAGCUCCCACAAAUGUUGGGAGAUAAAAGGAGUCCUCAUUUUUGUGCUCCAAACUUCAUAUCCACUUUCUUAAAAAAGUGUUUAUGAUAGUGUGAGUUGAAAUAAAACCAACAUUGUUUACUAUUUGAUUAACUUGACUCUAGUACUAGAUGAUAAUCCAAAGGAAGUUGUCUUUUCUACUAUGUAGAGAGAAGUAAAAUAAAAUAAAAUAGAGCAAAAAAAAACUUUGGAUAAGGCAAGAAUUCUGAUCCAAAUUGGACUCUUAAUUUUUUUAUUCAUGAAUCUCAAUUUAAAUACAUAAUUAAAUUGUAGCAGACUCCUAAGUGAAUCAACUAGUAGCCCACUGUGAAAAAUUAACUAAUUUACUUAGUAGUUCCUAAAAAAUUAGGAUAGCACGUUCCACGUCUUAUUUGACUCAAACUCCAAUCACAACCAAUCUAUCAAAUAUCAGCAUUAAUUCCAACAAGUUUGCUGCAGGUGAUGCUCGUGUACUUCAACUGUGAAAGGAUACAAGAUCGCCCUCAAAAUUCAGGGAGUCGUUCUUCCCAACGUGGAGAGCGAUUCUAUGGUCUUGAAUUUGAAAUCCAACCAGUCGGAUUUGCACGAUGCUAGGGUAAUGUUUUCCCCAAUUUUUCGAUGGAAAUCCAUACCCUUCCUUUCAAAUGCUCUUCUCGGCUCCAUGGAGAUGAGAUGGUGGUGAGGCAGUGUAUUUUUCAUGAUGUUGGCACUUGAUUAAAGUUUUAUUUGAACAAGAAAAGUUUGCAAAGGUGGGUUUUUCCCACCGUAGUGCAGUAUGUUAUAAUUCGUUGCUCCCAUGGCCUCAUUUUGAUUAUGUUAUUUUGUCGUGGUUGUUAGAUUUGGAGAUGGGUUCUAGGUGGACUGUUUCAUUUCAUGUGUUGAAUUUAAGUUACCCAAAUUAUAUCAUGCUUGUUACUUAUUUGAUGAAAUGUUUGAGUAGUAUUUUCGUAAAUUCUGCAUGUGGAAAUAGAAAGAUAUUGGAUGCGUGAAAAUGGAAAUGGAAAAGAUCCCAUUGAGAGAAAAUUAAAGAGGAUCAAGCAAUCCCAAGAUGAGAGCCCGUUAGUGUGAAAGACAUCAAAAUAUACCUACGUGAGCCUCCACAUGAGUAUAUCGAAGUGCGGCUAUACAUCCUUUAGUGAAAUCCUGAGAACAAGGUUGCAUUGUAUGGAUGAAUAAGCAUAUUUACAUGCACUGAGUGGUAUCUGUUGAGAUCUUUGAUUUAUUGAUUUGCAUAGAGUUGUGAGUAAUUGGAAAUCUUCCAUAUAUGGUGAUUAUAAAAAUGUUUGGUUUUGGGAUACAUUGCUCAUGUGUGUAAUAAUGUGAUUUAUUUAUGUGUUUUUCCCAAGGUAGAAAAACCCCUACUAAAGCAUAAACAUUUCAUGCUUGCCCUCAUCCCCUAUAGUUUAGAUGUAGUUUUGGAGGAACCUCUUACAUGAAUAAAAGCAUUAGAGGAUGUAGGGUUGAUAAAUAAUUGAUAUCAUGCUUCUGUGUCCAUCAUGUUUUGGAUGCUUGGUUGGUUAUCUUAAAGCAUUGCUGUUUUGCUCUUUGCAUCCCUUGCUAUAAUUUUAGGCGUGCUCUUAAAUCAUAUAUAGGAUUAGGCAUGUGAGACAAUCAUAUACCUUUUGAUUUAUAACUUCAUUUGAAAAACCUUGACUUGUAAUUCCAUACAUACGAAGGAAAUGGUGCUAAGGCUGAAUAUGGAGAUAGAGAUUUGAACUCAUGUUCAGCUAAGUGAUGUAAGAAGCAUAAUGGAAAUUAAAUUUAGCCAUUUGGUUAGGUAAUAGUAUGUAUGUUGGCUUGAACUUGAAAGUUUUUGAAAUGUGGGGAUGGAAUCUUAUGGAAAGCCUUGAGGCUAACUGUUACACGAUUAGAUUUAUAUAUGUUCUUGUAUAUGGUUUGAGAAACAAAGUAUAUGUAGAAGAUUGGCAGCUUCCAUGUGAAGCCUGAAGUUCAUGUUGAGAGUUGCCUUAGAUGUCUCUUUGAGAUUGAGUACUUGUGUGCAAAGAUUGGAAGCAGGGAAAUGGUGAAAAGGGUAUUGUAUGGAAGAAAAUCUGGAAACUGGCCAUCAUGUGAGCAAAAAAAGAUUGUGCCACCCAACCGAUCAAGUGGUACCACUAACCGGCCAAUCAACUACGUAACAUGGACCCCACUACCUAAGGGCCAGUCUAUAGCCAUGCAGAGCCAAUCGAUUGGCACCUGAUCGAUUGGCACCUGGUCGAUCGUUCAUUCCCUUUGUUUGCAUUGUUAGCCUAUACUCCACUUUUUGAUCCCUUUGGAGCCUUAGAAGCAUAUGUUAGGUCCUUAAAACCCUUUUAGGAUUGUUAAUGGGUCUCAUUGAUAGCUUUAGAUCAUGUGGUUCUGGAAUAUGACUAAUUCAAUAUUUUAAUUAGAUUAAAUGAACAUACUAGACCAUGUUAACUGGUAGCUAGGUCAAUUUUACCUUCGGGGUUAAACCUUCAACCCCAAAAUUGUGGUUUGGCUUUUGGGUCAUUUGGAACCCUGGUUGGGACAACAUGGUACCAAAGCUUGAAGUUGCAAUAGUACUUUGGGAUUGUUUAUUUUACACAUGCUUACAUAGCUUUUGUUACAUAUUAUUAUUCUUAACCAUGAUUAUUAAUUGGAUAAGAUAUUAACAUGUGAUGAGAUGGUGAGAGUGUUGGAAUGGCACGCAUAUGUCUCAAUACGAUACACUGAACCCGUGAUGUUGAUUAGUUUUGUUAAAUGAUAUGUUGAGUGCUUGUUUGAUUAUUGCUUUGAAUUUCUUGCUAUAUUUGUAUUCUUGCUGCACCUCCUUGGUAAUCAUCCUUGAGGUUGACUUCAUUUGGGAAACUAUUGGAAACUAGCUGGCAUGGCAGGAAAAUCAAGGAGGGGUAGGCUCAGGCACCAUCACCAUUAUCAGUGGCAAAUUUGUUAGGAGAUGAGGUAUCUGAAUUAAGACAGAAGUUGAGGGAGAUGACCCAAGCUUUUAGCAAUCAAAGGUGGGGAGUAGCAGGAAACACCUUUUCAGUAAGAUGGUUCAGGGGCAUGUGACCUAGAGAGCCUCAAGCCAAGAUACACACGAGUCAAAUACAGUCAAUAAAAAGUUCAUGAGAAUGAUCCCUUUUUGUUUCAAUGGCUAGCUUAAUCUUAAGAGGGUUGAAAACUGGCUAAAGCAAAUUAAGAGAAUUAAUGUGCUUAUAGCACCCGAAGAUGAAAGACUCAGCUUGUCUACACAUGUAUGCUGGUGAGUAAGGCCAACAUUUGGUGGGCAAUGGAGAAAAGAGUUCAUGAUAGAGAUGUCAUGACUUUGGAACAGUUUGACGCAAUCGUCUUGGAUAAGUACUCUUCAUGCUAAGAGAAUGGCGUUUGGGGUUUGAUUCAGGGAAAUAUAUCAGUACAAGUAUAAAUCCAGAUUCUCAAAGCUAUCCAGAUUUCCCACCAAGAUGAUGUCGAAUGAAGAUGGGAAGGCAAAAAGGCUUGAAAAUGGCUGGGGCUUGCAAUCAAAGGCCGAGUAAUGGGAUUGGCCAUCAGGAAAUGUUAAAAGUUCGUGAGAAGAUAAUUAUUGAUCAAGCAAGGGAUAAAAAGCACCAACGAGACCCAAGAGCAGAGGUAACAGGAAGAGAAAGCAUAAAGUGGGAGAAUUGUCCAAGAAAGGAUCUCAACAGCAGCAUCAGUACUACCUACUUUUCAGCAGUCAGGAGAGGGUACAACCUAAGUGGUAUAUGCAUUUUUACAUCCUGAAGUUAAGCAAGAACACUGCUAUCUAGAUCAGUAUCGAGAUGCUGGAGGCAUUGGAGGCAGUGGGACUAUAUAAAUUUGCCCAUCCUAACAUAGGAUUAAACCUCCAAGCAAAAAACUCUGAUACACAUCAAGCUUGAAGAGCUCGAUACACAAUAUGAGCUUUGUUGUCAUAUAAGGCUUGGUCUAAUCCUCUAAAACUCUACCAUCAAGUGAUGACUCUCAAGCUGGGAAGCAUGCCCUUCCAAGCCCUAUUAUGGUCUUUCCUUCUAGCUUGAAAGGUUCAACUCUACUCUAUUUUCACCCUUCUAACUUAGGUCUUUUCUUAAAUUAAUUUAUGUUAGAUUUUUGUACCUCAACAUAGGUUUUCAAUGUGAAAGAAAAUGGUUUGACACACUCUUCCAUAAAAGCGUGAUGCACAGUCUAUCCAGGACCUCAUAAAGUGCUUUAGGAAUCAGUUCCUAUAGAUGGAAUGGUGUGAUGAAUCAGUAAUGGUAAAAGCAUUUAAACAUGAUUGCUUGUGAACUUAGAUUUAUCUCCAUAUCAAACAAUCCCUAGUUCCACUCAAAGAGUUGUUUGCUUGAACUAGUAAGUAUGGCACUCUCAAAGAACUAUAGGUAGUGCCACGAUAGCAUUUUGUCAAUAAUGCCUAGUUAGAGAGUGCGAGAAAGGAAAAGCCCUAGCAAGAUAGACCCAAGCAAAUAAGGGGAACAUGUCCCAAGUGUAUAAGAGAAAAAAAAGAAGAUAUGAUAAUGCCCCAAACUAACUUGAAUGCUAAUGUUACCAUUCUCAAUGCCUCAUAUGAUAAAACUAGCGCAAAAAUUCAGUGAAUGGAAGACUUUAAAUGCCUAGAAGUAAUGUAGAAAGCUCAAAGCACAAGUAAUCUUGUUUAUUAUGGUUUAAAAUGUAAAUGUAUCCAUCCAAAAAGAAAAAAAAAAAAAAGUAGUCUUGGUUAUUAUGGUAGAUCAGUUGGCCUAGCCUAGCAUAGAGCCUCAAGAUAAAGGGUUGAAUCGAUACAAGAUGACAUUAAGUGGAAAAAUAGAAAUUGGAAGGCAAAAUCAUAUGAGAAUGAACAUGCUCAAGCACCCCACAACAGAAUGAUGCGACUAAACAAGAAAAUCAACAUUUUGCAGAGAUGUGUUGAAGUAUGUUGGAUGGUGAACAUGUGGCUAGUAGAUUCCUAGCCAAAAAUUAUGAGGAGGACAAAUCAAAUAGAAAUACGGUACCAUACUCAAAAUUAUGAUCUAGGAUGAAAUGGUUAGGAGAGAUGAGCAAAGAACAAUUCUUUCUGAGUUUGAGUUUGGUUGGUAGGAUAAGAUAGGAUAUUAUUUUCUAUAAUAUUUUUUGAUAUUAUAUCUAGUAGAUUGCAAUAUCUGUGGAUGCAUAUUAUAUCCAGUGGAUAUUGACAUCCUAUGAUGGGAUAUCAUGUGAAAAAUGUUUUACCCUAUGCUUUGUCAUAGAUAUAAAAAAUAUAUUUCAUUUUAAUAAUAUGAAAAUUUAGGAUGUUAUAUUUAAUGAACGAUAUGUUGCCUAUCAGUAAAGGAACAAGAC